GAUGAACGCUGGCGGCGUGCCUAACACAUGCAAGUCGAGCGAAGCACUUACUUUAGAUUUCUUCGGAAUGACGAAGUUUGUGACUGAGCGGCGGACGGGUGAGUAACGCGUGGGCAACCUGCCCUGUACAGGGGGAUAACAGUUAGAAAUGACUGCUAAUACCGCAUAAGCCCACAGCUUCGCAUGAAGCAGUGGGAAAAACUCCGGUGGUACAGGAUGGGCCCGCGUCUGAUUAGCUAGUUGGUAAGGUAACGGCUUACCAAGGCGACGAUCAGUAGCCGACCUGAGAGGGUGACCGGCCACCUUGGGACUGAGACACGGCCCAAACUCCUACGGGAGGCAGCAGUGGGGAAUAUUGCACAAUGGGGGAAACCCUGAUGCAGCGACGCCGCGUGAGCGAUGAAGUAUUUCGGUAUGUAAAGCUCUAUCAGCAGGGAAGAAAGUGACGGUACCUGACGAAGAAGCCCCGGCUAACUACGUG
rnacentral:rRNA from 1 species